rnacentral:rRNA from 1 species
GUCUAUUAGAAAUUGUUUAUAGUCUAGCCUGCUCACUGACAUAAAGUGUUAAAUAGCCGCGGUAUCUUGACCGUGCAAAGGUAGCAUAAUCAUUAGUUUCUUAAUUGGGAACUUGUAUGAAUGGUUGGACAAAGAAAAAUCUGUCUCUUGAACUGAAAUUGAAUUUAACUUCUAAGUGAAAAGGCUUAGAUUAUCCAGAGGGACGAUAAGACCCUAUAAAGCUUUAUAAAUUUAUUAAUUUCGUUUAUUUUUUAUUAUAAUAAUGAUGAUAAGAGAAUUUAUUUGGUUGGGGCAACCGAAGUAUAAUUUUAAAUAACUGCUAUAAUUUAAUACAAUGAUUUUUGUCUUAUACAAUAAUUGAUCCUCAAAGAGAUUAAAGACCAAGUUACUUUAGGGAUAACAGCGUAAUUUAUCCUGAGAGUUCUUAUCAAAGGAAAAGUUUGCGACCUCGAUGUUGAAUUAAAAUGUCUACCUAGUGCAGCAGCUAGGAAAGAAGGUCUGUUCGACCUUUAAUUUUUUACAUGAUC